AUUUUGGUCAGGUGACUUUAAGGAGGAAUUGAACGCUCAGUGGUGCAGGAAAUGUAGCUCGAAUUUUGCUUCAUUUUCGUUUCAGUCAUGCACUGUAACGGAAUAUGUAAUUUAUUAAAGGCGUGGAUUAUUUACGUCACUGUUUUGUUGAAUCAUGGAUUCGGGGGUAAAAUGAAAAUUGUAGAAGAACCAAACACAUUUGGGCUGAAUAAUCCUUUUCUGAAUCAGGGAAGCAGACUGCAGCCUAAAGUAACUCCAUCCUGUGUCUGGGCCUGCACACCUUCACCGGCUGGCUGGAAAGUGCUUCAGUCUCACAGAGUCAACGUAUAAAUAUGAAUUCUGUCCCUUUCACAACGUCACCCAGCACGAGGAGUCGUUUAGAUGGAAUGCUUACAGUGGGAUACUGGGCAUCUGGCAGGAGUGGGAGAUAGCGAACAACACUUUCACAGGCAUGUGGAUGAGGAGGGAGAUACAUGUGGGACCAGAAACAGAG